rnacentral:rRNA from 1 species
UACGUAGGUCCCGAGCGUUGUCCGGAUUUAUUGGGCGUAAAGCGAGCGCAGGUGGUUUAUUAAGUCUGGUGUAAAAGGCAGUGGCUCAACCAUUGUAUGCAUUGGAAACUGGUAGACUUGAGUGCAGGAGAGGAGAGUGGAAUUCCAUGUGUAGCGGUGAAAUGCGUAGAUAUAUGGAGGAACACCGGUGGCGAAAGCGGCUAUCUGGCCUGUAACUGACACUGAGGCUCGAAAGCGUGGGGAGCAGACAGG